rnacentral:rRNA from 1 species
UACGUAGGUGGCAAGCGUUAUCCGGAUUUAUUGGGCGUAAAGGGAACGCAGGCGGUCUUUUAAGUCUGAUGUGAAAGCCUUCGGCUUAACCGGAGUAGUGCAUUGGAAACUGGGAGACUUGAGUGCAGAAGAGGAGAGUGGAACUCCAUGUGUAGCGGUGAAAUGCGUAGAUAUAUGGAAGAACACCAGUGGCGAAAGCGGCUCUCAGGUCUGUAACUGACGCUGAGGUUCGAAAGCGUGGGUAGCAAACAGG